rnacentral:sRNA from 1 species
UGCGUCUGCGGAGGACCCGGCAGGAGUCGUUCAAAAGGCUUCGCGGACAGCCGAUCCCUGUACGGUCCGGUACAUUCAUCAAAUGAUGAAUUUAAUUAUUUU